UACGUAGGGGGCGAGCGUUGUCCGGAUUUAUUGGGCGUAAAGAGCUCGUAGGCGGUUUGGCAAGUCGGGUGUGAAAACUCCGGGCUCAACUCGGAGACGCCACUCGAUACUGCCAUGACUCGAGUCCGGUAGGGGAGUGCGGAAUUCCUGGUGUAGCGGUGAAAUGCGCAGAUAUCAGGAGGAACACCAGUGGCGAAGGCGACACGCUGGGCCGUACCUGACGCUAAAGCGCGACAGCAUGGGGAGCAAACGGG
rnacentral:rRNA from 1 species